GUCCCCGUAGCCCAAUCGGCAGAGGCAGGCGACUUAAAAUCGCUGUUGUGCGAGUUCGAAUCUCGUCGGGGGCA
rnacentral:tRNA from 1 species